ensembl:lncRNA
CAGAGUCAAUGUGGAGACUAUAUACAGGGAGUACCGGUACAGAGUCAAUGUGGAGGAUAUAUACAGGGGUACUGGUACAGAGUCAAUGUGGAGGUUAUAUACAGGGGGUACCGGUACAGAGUCAAUGUGGAGGUUAUAUACAGGGGUACCGGUACAGAGUCAAUGUGGAGGCUAUAUACAGGGGGUACCGGUACAGAGUCGAUGUGGAGGCUAUAUACAGGGGGUACCGGUACAGAGUCAAUGUGGAGGCUAUAUACAGGGGGGGCCGGUACAGAGUCAAUGUGGAGGAUAUAUACAGGGGGUACCGGUACAGAGUCAAUGUGGAGGAUAUAUACAGGGG